GCACAAUUGUCAAACGGUUGACUUUAAAAUAUAUUUUCCAACACAUACGUCGAUAAUAGCGACUGAAUGUACAUCCCGAUUGUCAUUACGGGGGCGACAAGGUACUUGUGGUAUAAAUAUGAUCGUUCUAUCCAUUUCUUAAUCAAAAAAUCAUGUGCCAUAUCAAUUACCUAUUCAUGCAAAGCAUUAUGUCAGGAUGUCAACAACCAUAAGCCAUAUUAACAGACAUCAUGUCUAGAAGAAAAAAUAAGAA
rnacentral:lncRNA from 1 species